UACGGAGGGAGCUAGCGUUGUUCGGAUUUACUGGGCGUAAAGCGCACGUAGGCGGAUUGUUAAGUCAGGGGUGAAAUCCUGGAGCUCAACUCCAGAACUGCCUUUGAUACUGGCAAUCUCGAGUCCGGAAGAGGUAAGUGGAACUCCUAGUGUAGAGGUGGAAUUCGUAGAUAUUAGGAAGAACACCAGUGGCGAAGGCGGCUUACUGGUCCGGAACUGACGCUGAGGUGCGAAAGCGUGGGGAGCAAACAGG
rnacentral:rRNA from 1 species